GUGUCCUCCUCCCAGAUUCACUAAGUGUUUACAUUUGUGGAAUAAUUAAUUUUUAAUUAACUUUGUUAGGCCAGUCCCUGAGACGAAUAGGACCUUGUCCCUGGAUGAGGUGUACCUUAUUGACUCGGGUGCUCAAUACAAGGAUGGCACCACAGAUGUGACGCGGACAAUGCAUUUUGGGACCCCUACAGCCUACGAGAAGGAAUGCUUCACAUAUGUCCUCAAGGGCCACAUAGCUGUGAGUGCAGCCGUUUUCCCGACUGGAACCAAAGGUCACCUUCUUGACUCCUUCGCCCGUUCAGCUUUAUGGGAUUCAGGCCUAGAUUACUUGCACGGGACUGGACAUGGUGUUGGGUCUUUUUUGAAUGUCCAUGAGGGUCCUUGCGGCAUCAGUUACAAAACAUUCUCUGAUGAGCCCUUGGAGGCAGGCAUGAUUGUCACUGAUGAGCCCGGGUACUAUGAAGAUGGGGCUUUUGGAAUUCGCAUUGAGAAUGUUGUCCUUGUGGUUCCUGUGAAGACCAAGUAUAAUUUUAAUAACCGGGGAAGCCUGACCUUUGAACCUCUAACUUUGGUUCCAAUUCAGACCAAAAUGAUAGAUGUGGAUUCUCUUACAGACAAAGAGUGUGACUGGCUCAACAAUUACCACCUGACCUGCAGGGAUGUGAUUGGGAAGGAACUGCAGAAACAGGGCCGCCAGGAAGCUCUCGAGUGGCUCAUCAGAGAGACGCAACCCAUCUCCAAACAGCAUUAAUACCUCCCCGGUUUUGUUUUUGCAAAAUGCUCUGGAGGAAGGAAGAAACGUGGCAGAUCCCUGACAUCUUUCCCCUUUCCUUUCCUUCUUCCCUACCUCCCCUUUUUACUUUAGACUUUAAGAAGA
rnacentral:sRNA from 1 species